rnacentral:rRNA from 1 species
AGUGAACGCUGGCGGUAGGCCUAACACAUGCAAGUCGAACGGCAGCACAGUAAGAGCUUGCUCUUACGGGUGGCGAGUGGCGGACGGGUGAGGAAUACAUCGGAAUCUACUUUUUCGUGGGGGAUCACGUAGGGAAACUUACGCUAAUACCGCAUACGACCUACGGGUGAAAGCAGGGGAUCUUCGGACCUUGCGCGUUUGAAUGAGCCGAUGUCGGAUUAGCUAGUUGGCGGGGUAAAGGCCCACCAAGGCGACGAUCCGUCUCUGGUCUGAGAGGAUGAUAAGCCACACUGGAACUGAGACACGGGCCAGAAUCCUACGGGAGGCAGCAGUGGGGAAUAUUGGACAAUGGGCGCAAGCCUGAUCCAGCCAUACCGCGUGGGUGAAGAAGGCCUUCGGGUUGUAAAGCCCUUUUGUUGGGAAAGAAAAGCAGCAGGUUAAUACCCCGCUGUUCUGACGGUACCAAAAGAAUAAGCACCGGCUAACUUCGUG